UGAAUUGUGGCCCCCAGAAGAUAUGCCCAUGUCUUAACCCCCAGAAGCUGUGAAUGUGACCUUAUUUUGGAAAAAAGGUCUUUGUAGAUGGGAUUAAGUUAAGGAUCUCGAGAUGAGAUCAUCCUGGAUUAGCCAGGUGGGCCUUAAAUCCAAUGUGAAGGGAAGAAGA